CGCCGCGUGAGGGAUGACGGCCUUCGGGUUGUAAACCUCUUUUAGUAGGGAAGAAGCGAAAGUGACGGUACCUGCAGAAAAAGCACCGGCUAACUACGUGCCAGCAGCCGCGGUAAUACGUAGGGUGCAAGCGUUGUCCGGAAUUAUUGGGCGUAAAGAGCUCGUAGGCGGUUUGUCGCGUCUGCUGUGAAAUCCCGAGGCUCAACCUCGGGCUUGCAGUGGGUACGGGCAGACUAGAGUGCGGUAGGGGAGAUUGGAAUUCCUGGUGUAGCGGUGGAAUGCGCAGAUAUCAGGAGGAACACCGAUGGCGAAGGCAGAUCUCUGGGCCGUAACUGACGCUGAGGAGCGAAAGCAUGGGGAGCGAACAGGAUUAGAUACCCUGGUAGUCCAUGCCGUAAACGUUGGGCGCUAGAUGUAGGGACCUUUCCACGGUUUCUGUGUCGUAGCUAACGCAUUAAGCGCCCCGCCUGGGGAGUACGGCCGCAAGGCUAAAACUCAAAGGAAUUGACGGGGGCCCGCACAAGCGGCGGAGCAUGCGGAUUAAUUCGAUGCAACGCGAAGAACCUUACCAAGGCUUGACAUACACCGGAAACGGCCAGAGAUGGUCGCCCCCUUG
rnacentral:rRNA from 1 species